rnacentral:piRNA from 1 species
UGCUGGGAAGGCCAAGAGGUCACUGCGUA